GGAGGGCGCAAGCGUUGUUCGGAAUCAUUGGGCGUAAAGCGGGUGUAGGCGGUUUGGCAAGUCGGAUGUGAAAUCCCAGGGCCCAACCCUGGAACUGCAUUCGAAACUGCCUCGCUAGAGUCCCGGAGAGGAUGGCGGAAUUCCCGGUGUAGAGGUGAAAUUCGUAGAUAUCGGGAGGAGCACCAGCGGCGAAGGCGGCCAUCUGGACGGUGACUGACGCUCAGACCCGAAAGCGUGGGUAGCGAACAGGGAUUAGAUACCCUGGUAGUCCACGCUGUAAACGUUGGGUGCUCGACGUCGCGGGUAUUGACCCCCCUGCGGUGUCCAAGCUAACGCGAGAAGCACCCCGGCCUGGGGAGUACGGCCGCAAGGCUA
rnacentral:rRNA from 1 species